rnacentral:lncRNA from 1 species
GGGCUGUUCUUAAACUUGUUGUACUCCAUUCGUCAUCCUAAAACUCAUUAUAGGCUCCUUGUAGAUCAAAUCUUGAGACAUAUUUUCUAGCAAUCUCUAUCUCGACUCGAUAUUCGACCUCCAUCUGACUUUGAGAUUUUUUUUUGGAUCUUCUCACCUCCAUAUCCUAGAGCAAUCACCUGCAACUUAUGUAUGAGCAAACAUGGGAGUCGAGCUAGACCGCUCGAUCCCAUCUCCGUCAUAUGCUGUACGCACCUCACAACACCUCCUAAUCUGAGAUCUGCUCGAGGUAGCCUCUACACAACAUCAGUCAUCCUCUUGAGUCUCUCGUGCAGUGCCCGAUCCAUCUCCAUCUAGAGCUCCACUUUGCACUGGGCUCUCAUUGGCAUCCUCCAUGUAGACAGCUCCUUGUACAAGAGAUCAUAGAUCAACCCUCUACGAUCGAUCUCCACCUUGAUUGCAUCUGUCUUCUCCAUCUUUAAUCUUGCUCACCACUAUCAUAAUCUCAUGCUGGUACCAUCUCGCUCUGAUAUCAAUUGUUGGGAAUAUCUGGCCAGGAC